rnacentral:miRNA from 1 species
GGCGACGGAGGCGCGACCCCCC